UGGCGGACGGGUGGGUAAUGUCUGGGAAACUGCCUGAUGGAGGGGGGUAACUACUGGAAACGGUAGCUAAUACCGCAUAACGUCGCAAGACCAAAGAGGGGGACCUUAGGGCCUCUUGCCAUCGGAUGUGCCCAGAUGGGAUUAGCUAGUAGGUGGGGUAACGGCUCACCUAGGCGACGAUCCCUAGCUGGUCUGAGAGGAUGACCAGCCACACUGGAACUGAGACACGGUCCAG
rnacentral:rRNA from 1 species